AACGUACGCUGGCGGCACGCCUAACACAUGCAAGUCGAACGCAGUAGCAAUACUGAGUGGCAGACGGGUGAGUAACAUGUGGGAAUCUGCCUUGUGGUUCAGGACAACAUUGGGAGACCGAUGCUAAUACUGGAUAAGCCCUUACGGGGAAAGUUUUAAUGCCAUAAGAUGAGCCCGCAUUUGAUUAGUUAGUUGGUGAGGUAAUGGCUCACCAAGACAAUGAUCAAUAGCUGAUCUGAGAGGAUGAUCAGCCACACUGGGACUGAGACACGGCCCAGACUCCUACGGGAGGCAGCAGUGGGGAAUCUUGCACAAUGGAGGAAACUCUGAUGCAGCGAUGCCGCGUGAGUGAAGAAGGCCUUUGGGUUGUAAAGCUCUUUUGUAGGGGAAGAUAAUGACUGUACCCUAAGAAUAAGGUCUGGCUAACUUCGUGCCAGCAGCCGCGGUAA
rnacentral:rRNA from 1 species